rnacentral:misc_RNA from 1 species
CGUUAAGCUUAUCUCAGUUAAUCUCAUAACACAAACAUAUAAAAGAAGAAGAAGACCAAGUGGAAGGAAAAAUGUCAGGUAUCUCUCUCGCUACUGCUACUAGAAAUGAGCCCAAUGAGGCCACCACAAAAGCUAUGAAGCCCCAGCAAACGGCCCUCGAAAAACAGGAGCAAACUAUGAUGGGGGGUGUAAUGGGAUCAUUGCGUGUGAUAGAGCUCCAACUAGUUGCUUUCAUAAUGGUUUUCUCAGCAAGCGGGCUUGUCCCACUUCUUGAUUUGGUAUUUCCAGCUUUUGCUUCUGCUUAUUUUUUAGUACUGGCUCGGCUGGCCUUCCCUUCAAAUGGCCGAGUCAGUUCAGGCUCGCAAGAGAUAUUUCAAGGAAGCAAGUUCUUUAGGUUGUAUGUGAUUGUGGGAACCGCAGUGGGACUGUUCUUGCCCCUGGCAUACGUGUUGGGUGGGUUCGCAAGAGGCGAUGAUCAUGCUGUUCGGUCAGCAACACCUCACUUGUUCCUGCUCUCAUUUCAGAUACUGACUGAGAACAUCAUCAGCGGGUUGUCACUUUUUUCGCUGCCGGUGAGAGCAUUAGUUCCAUUGCUUUACACGGUGAGAAGGAUCUUUGUUAUCGUUGAUUGGAUACAGGAUGUGUGGCUUAACAAAACUCUACCAUCCAAUGCACAAGUCAAGGACAUUGGCUGGUAUUGGUUUGGGAGGAUUCUAGCAGCUAUGAACCUUCUAUAUUUCUCUAUCAAUCUUUUCGGAUUUUUGAUUCCUCAGUUCCUUCCUCGGGCCUUCGAGAAGUAUUUCCAGGAAAGGAAUGAAACUCACGCGAAGAUGGCAGAGGACAAGCGUUCUCCUGCUGCAAACAAACCCCAACCAACAGAUAAGAAAGCUGAUUAGCAUUCUUUGCUGUUUGUUUUUGCAGUAGCUCUGAGUAGUGGGUCUAUUUAUGUUAAAAUGCCUUCUUUUUUGCUUGAAUGAUUCUUGAAAGGAGAAAUAUGCAUUUGCAAGAAAUUACAUUGAUCAUGCAUAUUUGAGUUUCUCUGUUUUCUUGGAGGAAAGCAAUAAAUAUUGUUC